UUCUAUGGCCAUAUCACUCCAAAUGUGUCUGAUCCUGUCUGAUCUCAGAAGCUAAGCAGGGUGGGGCCUGGACAGUACUUGGAUGGGAGAUUUUCAGGUUAUCUUUCAUGUGUUGUGAUUU
rnacentral:rRNA from 1 species